rnacentral:misc_RNA from 1 species
AAGUCGUAACAAGGUUUCCGUAGGUGAACCUGCGGAAGGAUCAUUAACACGUAUCCAAACGUUAAAACCCCCCCCGUGAACCUUCAUCCUGCUCUUGUAACCCGCGUAGUUCGCAAUCUCUGAUAAAUCAUAGCCCGGAAAGUUGUAGUGAUUCAGAGACCUCUGGCUACGUGCGAACAUUGGAACAGUUACAAUCGAGCGGUAGUUCUAUAGGCAAUGUUUCCCCAAGCAGUCAGUGUCGGAAAGUGUGAUUGCUUGUGCAAGGAUAGCGCUUCUACGAUUCCUGUAGACCAUACAUUGGGUAAAAAAACCGAACAACUGUUAACAAUGGAUAUCUUGGUUCUC